UGCUCUCGUAACCGUGCCUGCUCCUCCUG
rnacentral:piRNA from 1 species